rnacentral:rRNA from 1 species
AGACAGCAGCAGCCGCGGGAAUACAGAGGGUGCGAGCGUUAAUCGGAUUUACUGGGCGUAAAGCGUGCGUAGGCGGCUUUUUAAGUCGGAUGUGAAAUCCCUGAGCUUAACUUAGGAAUUGCAUUCGAUACUGGGAAGCUAGAGUAUGGGAGAGGAUGGUAGAAUUCCAGGUGUAGCGGUGAAAUGCGUAGAGAUCUGGAGGAAUACCGAUGGCGAAGGCAGCCAUCUGGCCUAAUACUGACGCUGAGGUACGAAAGCAUGGGGAGCAAACAGGAUUAGAUACCCCGGUAGUCCCUGUCUCUUAUAC